rnacentral:rRNA from 1 species
CCUACGGGUGGCAGCAGUGGGGAAUAUUGGUCAAUGGAGGAAAGUCUGAACCAGCGACGUAGCGUGAGGGAUGACUGCCCUAUGGGUGGUAAGCUUCUUUUGUAGGGGAGUAAAUUGUUCCACGUGUGUGAUUUUGUAUGUCCCAUAUGGAUAAAGCUGGGCUAACUCCGUGCAAGCAGCAGCGGUAAUCCGGAGGUUCCGAGCGUUAUCCGGAUGUAUUGGGUGUAAAGGGAGCGUAGGUGGAUUGUUAAGUCAGUUGUGAAAGUUUGCGGCUCAACCGCAAAAUUGCAGUUGAAACUGGCAGGCUUGAGUACAGGAGAGGUGGGCGGAAUUCGUGGUGUAGCGGUGAAAGGCUUAGAUAUUACGAAGAACUCCGAUUGCGAAGGCAGCCUACUGGACUGUAACUGACACUGAGGCUCGAAAGUGUGGGUAGCAAACAGGAUUAGAUACCCCAGUAGUC